UACGGGGGGAGCAAGCGUUGUUCGGAUUUACUGGGCGUAAAGGGCGCGUAGGCGGCCACCGCAAGUCAGUUGUGAAAUCUCUGGGCUUAACCCAGAACGGUCAGCUGAUACUGCGGGGCUAGAGUGCAGAAGGGGCAACUGGAAUUCUCGGUGUAGCGGUGAAAUGCGUAGAUAUCGAGAGGAACACCUGCGGCGAAGGCGGGUUGCUGGGCUGACACUGACGCUGAGGCGCGAAAGCUAGGGUAGCAAACAGG
rnacentral:rRNA from 1 species